GUUCUCGAUAUACCCUGACAUAAAGCUGCAGUGAAUUGCACAGUAAAUGUGCACAACUUUAACAGAGUCUUUAAUAAUGAAUAUGAAUAUAUAUAUGUACAAUAAAUAACACCAUAAAACCACUAAAAAAAAAUGCCAUAAAUCUAAAUAUACACAGUGGCACACACUUCGCAAAAUAUUGGAGGGAAGGUGAGGGAAUUUAUGUUGUCACUAUAUGACCGCGUUUGCUGCUGAAAAUCUUAAUUGCCCUAAUUCGAUGCAAUGUAUAACUCGAUCUAUAGCCUACAUGCUUUCAUGGUCGAAAAAUAAUUGUCAUAUCUCUUUGUGUUACACAGUUAAGCGCCGGUCAAAUAGCAUGACGCAUGAGAGUUGGCAGUCACCGAUUUUUGUUACUGGGGAGUUUCCCUUGAUAGUGUCCCCUAGUAGUGUCCUUUUCU